GUACACGCUGUGACUAGCAUAUCAAUAAGCGGAGGAAAAGAAACUAACAAGGAUUCCCCUAGUAACGGCGAGUGAAGCGGGAAGAGCUCAAAUUUGAAAUCUUAAAGGGUUUCCCUUUACGAAUUGUAGUUUAAAGAAGUGUUUUCUGUUGAGGUUUUGGUAAAAGUUCUUUGGAAUAGGACAUCAUAGAGGGUGAGAAUCCCGUAUUUGACCUUUACUUUCAACUUUGUGAUACACUUUCAAAGAGUCGGAUUGUUUGGGAAUGCAGUCCAAAAUGGGUGGUAAAUUUCAUCUAAAGCUAAAUAUUGGCGAGAGACCGAUAGCGAACAAGUACCGUGAGGGAAAGAUGAAAAGAACUUUGAAAAGAGAGUUAAACAGUACGUGAAAUUGUCAAAAGGGAAGCGUUUGACACCAGUGUUGUUUUUCUGAAAAUCAAUUAAAGAACUGUUUAUGCUAAGUUGUUUAGACUUUAUCAGCUAACUGUUUAGUUUUGAGUUUUUCUUUAAUGCACUUUUCAGUUAACAAGUCAACAUCAAUUUCUUUUGCUGUAAAAAAGCUUGAGGAAGGUGGCUUGAGAUUCGUCAUAAGUGUUUAUAGCCUCUUGCCUAUGCAGUCGGAGAGAUUGAGGUCUGCAGCGUAGAUCCUUCGGGGCUAAAUGCAUUUGUGCUAAGUUAUAGCAUUUUAUAGACAACUUGUUGACUAUGAUUUGUCUUGUAGCUUACUCGCUUAUGUUAUUUUACCUACGCUUAGGAUGUUGAGUCGUAGAGCACGCAG
rnacentral:rRNA from 1 species